rnacentral:misc_RNA from 1 species
GAUGAAGAACGUAGUGAAAUGCGAUAAGUAAUGUGAAUUGCAGAAUUCAGUGAAUCAUCGAAUCUUUGAACGCACAUUGCGCCCCUUGGUAUUCCGGGGGGCAUGCCUGUUCGAGCGUCAUUUCAACCCUCAAGCUCAGCUUGGUAUUGAGUCCAUGUCAGUAAUGGCAGGCUCUAAAAUCAGUGGCGGCGCCGCUGGGUCCUGAACGUAGUAAUAUCUCUCGUUACAGGUUCUCGGUGUGCUUCUGCCAAAACCCAAAUUUUCUAUGGUUGACCUCGGAUCAGGAAGGGAUACCCGCUGAACUUAAGCAUAUCAAUAAGCGGAGGA